UUAAACGUUCUUAAAGCUGGCGUGGAGUCGCUUCUUCUUCGGCUUCACUUUCUGUCGCCCGGACCUUCAUUGAUGAAGAGUCGAUAAGUUCGUGAAGAAAUUGUCACAAGACAAAGUCUAAUUUUACGAGCCUAGGGUAUCUUUUAGUGUUUUAGGGUUCUAGCAUCCAUAAUUCAUUUCGAUUAAAACAAUCAAAAACCAACAUAACAUCGACUAACCACAUAAUAUCACGUAACCACAUAACAAACAAAAUAAAAGAAUUCAACAUCCUUAAACUUAAUAUCAUUUAGAAAUUCACAUGUUCACAUAAGAGAUAAUAAUCAUGCACCAUCUUAUAACAUUCACCAUCUUAUAACAUUCUAUACAUUUCAUUUCCAUGUAAAUAAAUACGAAAUUCCAUUAUUCAUUUAUAAAUGACUUAAAUAAGCAUUUUAAACUCCAUUAAAAUGGAAUUGAUUUAAAAAUUUUAAUCCUUUUAAAAUCCAUACUCAUAAAGCCUUUACUCAUGCUCUAUCUCAUAUUCUAUCUCUCAUAUAAGGCUCGUCUAAUCUCAUUCAAACACAUAGGCAACACAAUCACAUAUAAGGCACAUAAGAAUCACAAUCAAACACCAUCAAAACAUGCUCUGUUUUUACACUGACUCAACUUCAAAAAUUAACCUGUUCUGACUCCGACAUCUCCUGGACUCGAGACUCAUACCAAAAGAAAGAUAUUCGAGUCUAGUUUCAUAUACAAAAACGUAGAGUCAAAAACUCCAAGUGGUUUGGGAGAUAUGUCGUUUUUACCACGAUCUACCAUAUUCGGCAGUUUUGAGCAAUCGAAAACUUGGAUUUUUGAAAAAUAGUAAACGUUGUCAAAUUGGGCUUAAAUUUGGUGGAUAUCUAGCUAACACAAUGAGGUUAAUACCAUAAAAAUUUGGAAAGCUAUAUCAUACAGUAAGCUACUUAAAAUAAUGACUCUUUACCCUGUUCUCUGAAAUUCUCGGUAGUAAAGUGCAGUUUAGGUUUUAUAUUUUAAAGAAAUAUCAAACGAAGUUGGAAUGGCUUGAAAUUUUACCAGUGUGCUCAACACUCUCAAAUAUACUUACCAUAAAAUGUUCAUGGCUUUUGGAUAUCAAAAUCGCGUCGAAAAAAGUAGGUCCGUAGCCUUUAAAAAGGUUCUCAAAUUAACUCCCAAACUUGAGCAUAAAGCAAAUAUACCUAAAUUCCGGACUUCUUCGAUGAAAAAUUCUCAAAAAUUCAAAUUAAGCUCAUAUAAAUCACAAUAACAUAAAUACAUGAUCAUAUAACUCAAGAAAAUUCAAACAUUGACUUCCCCUUUUUCCCCUUACAUUCGGCCAACACAUAAGUCAUUAGGAGUUGGUCCUUUUCGUCUCAUAUCGCAUAUACAAGCUCAAUUUAUCAUCAAAUAGCCAUAUAUAAACAUGCUCGACUCAUAACUCAUCUUAUAUACAAGAUCUCAUGUAUGCACGCAAACUAAACUCGAGAAAUUCUCACAAAUCAAUAUCAUUAACCAAAUUAAUCAUGCUUUCUCCUUGCUAGUAGUCUAACUAACAUAUAAACAUCAUCAAUUCAAGUAUUUAUCUCAUUAAUCAAAAGUUCCCAAUUAUUAGCAAACUAAACUUAACCAAUUUAGGCAUUCUUGACAAUUAACCAAUUGAUCCUAAUUAUCAUUUCUAUCAUGCUUAAUAACAAUUAACUUAGCCAAUUUAAUCAAUUAACACAUAGAUCACAAGUCCCAAUUUUUAACGAACUAAACUUUUUGAAAAUCUACAAACAUACAUAAAUCAUUAAUCCAACCUUAGAUUAAUCAAAUUGGCACACUUAAUAGCAUAAAUAAGCAAUCAAUUAGUAAAUUAAACCAUAGAAUCAAUUUUACCCAAAUUACAUCAAACUAACUCAUAUCAAAAAUUACUAAUCAAUUUCAACCAUCAAUCCAAUCCAUCAAAUCUCAUAUAAACACUCUCAAUAGCAUAUAUCAUCCAUCAAUUCAUCAAUCAACCUCAAAUCCAAAACUUCCCAAAUUUAGCAAACUAAACUCUUUCAAAUCUCAUAUCUAUUUUUAAAUCUAUUCUCUACACAUGGAAAAAGACUAAUUAGGAACCCAAUAGUAUUUAAAUAACCUCAAAUUAAGAAAAGAAAAUGAAAAAAUUUUGAAGGGUAAAAGACCCCAAAUUUUCGAAAAUUACAAAGAAUAAGAGAGGGGUGUUUUCUUGUUUCAAUCAUCCAAAAAUACACAUAUAUAACACAAAUAAGCCUAGAUCUAAGAGGAUUCAUCACUUACUCAAGGAUUUGGAAAUAAACAAAAAUCUCCUUUGGCUCAAAUCUUGAAACUCCUUCAAGUAUGCUCUUGAUUCAAGGCUAUAGAUGUUUAAAGCUUGAAUUUGAUGGAGAUCUAUGGUGUAGAGAUGAUCUAAAAA
rnacentral:lncRNA from 1 species